AUUUUGUGUGCGUCAGACUUAUAUAACCGUGUCUUGAUUUCGACGAAAUGUAGCUACUUUAGUUACUGUCUAAGCUACGCAAAAAAUAGUGUCCACUAUUUCUAGCAAACAAUCAGGUUACUCGGAAAGCAAUGAACGAACCAUGGGACAGCCCGGUAAAGUAAACAUCAGAUAUUACUCUGUUGUACACUGUCCGGUAUAUUCUACUUACUACGAUUUCGCUAUUGUAUCUAAUAUGGCAACUGUGUCGCACGAUAAUGCAAUAUCAGAAAUCAUUGAAGAAGCACGUGAGAUGAUUGCGUUUAUUUAACUGCGGUAAACACAACGGCGUCAAGACGAAUCGUCAAUCGGUCUACACACAGCCAGCCAGCCAGCCAGUCAGUCAGUCAGUCAGCCAGCCAGCCAGGCAGGCAGGCAGGCAGACAACAGGCGAAUUGGCGUCCCUCCUUCUAAUUGGAGUUGAUUAGAAAAUAAGUGUAAGAUCAAACUAUGACGGAUACGACUGAGCCAUAUUUACUAUAACAGGUCGUCUGCCAGUAAAAGCACUUUUGAUAAAAUGCGUCUAACAAAUGACGUCAAGGGUCUUUCACAGUGAGAGGAUCGUUAAGCCACACUCUCCAAUAGAACAGCUAUAGUUUGAAAGGCACAAUCAAGGUAAAGGGCAACGAUAUGCCAGUGCUGGUCGUACUAACGAAGUCAUCAGAUAAACCCUUCGAGCGUUAGAAGAGCAGAAGAUGAACGCAUAUAUUGUGUUUCAGUGGAGCUACGACAGUUCACUACCGUACGUGGAUGAAAAUUGAUAGCUUGAAUAAUUCUAUCAAAUCGCACCGUAAAGCAGAACGGUCCUCGCGUAAUUAGCUGA
rnacentral:lncRNA from 1 species